rnacentral:lncRNA from 1 species
CAAGUGGCAACCCCUGAAUUGGCUUAGAAGCAUUCACUUGAGUUGUGCUUCUUCAAACGUAUGCUAGACUGUUGGAUGAAAUCUAUGGUCAAGAUGGAAGCACACCAUUAUGAGACCCUUGGGACGGCUGGACUGGACUUCUCAUUAUUCUGGUUUUGCAAGAUCUCUUGAGGCUCUCUCUCUAAAUUGGACUCAUCUUUUCUUCAUUUGAUUUUCUUCGAUUCUUUUGAUCUCUUAUGAGUGAACUAGCCAGAAUAUUAGUUGAAUCUGUGGAAUUCAUGAUGCUACAGUAAUUAGGCCUGAAAUAUUGGCUGAUUUGGUGUUUGUAGUGGUUGGAAGAAAGUCAUGUUCGUAUUUUUGGUUAAGAUCUUGAGAUUUAAGAUAUCCAUGUGUGGAUCGAUGAUAAUCUCUAAGUCCGAUUGUGUUUUCCAGAUCUGUACUCUUUUUUUGGAAGGUUUUUGUGUGCUUAGUAAUUGGGUUAAUCUCUGAGCCCCCCAGAUUAGGUGAUUAUCAAAAUGGGUGAACAAUUUGUGGCAUUCUUUUUAUUUUUUUUUCUACUUUGGUUCGGAUAUUUUUACUGUUUAACAAACUGAUCAACAAAAAUAACCCCAACAACUGGUAUUAGAGCCUUCGAGGUUUUUGGGGGUGCAAGUUUUUUUUGGAUCAAAAACUGUUUGAGUCAAUUUUUCUUCGUUCAAUUUUUUCUUGGGGUUGCAAGUUUUCUGAACAAACUUUGGGUCACUGGUAUUAGAUCAUUUUUUUUUCCUAAUACAAACUAAAAGAUCUAAUUCUUGUCUCCUUUGUAUUUUUUUGGAAGGAAAAAAGCCUGGUGAAAGGUGGUAAGAUAACCACGAUCUAGUUCUAGAAAAGAGGGAUCGGAGUUCUUUCUAUCCUUGGGUUGAGACUAGCAGUAUGUUCUUCUUUACUGUUAAGACAGUAUAUGGUGAGAACAUUUUAAUUGUUUGGGGCUUCAGUAUAGUAAUUUCAAUUUUUUAUGUUUGAUAUGAGAUAUAUGCAUGUGAUACAUGGUAGAAUUGGUACUGUAAUUUGAAUUGCAUACUUUUGUUAUUGUGAGCAUGCUGUAGUAGUUAAGUUCUUGUAUAUAACCUGGUGCAAUUACUUGAUCACUAGCAUUACUCACUUUGUAUCAAAUAUCAUUGUUCUUGUUUCAAGAUUGUGUUUACAUAUCUACCUGAAUUCUUGAANCAUUCCUCUUAGGCCCUUUCAUAACUAUGAGAGAACCCUUCAUAAUUUUCAAAAUCUUGUUACCAGACUUGAAGGUAUAUC